CAGAGAGAGCUCAAGAACCACAGACCCCCGAGGGGCGGGUUCCUCUGCUGGGCAGUGAUAGCCAGCAGAGGGCGCACCAUCUGCUUUUCUGACCCAGGGCACCUCAGAGCAGGAAGGGCUUUGCUUGCUCUCAGAGGACUCAGGCCUCUGCUGGUGCCUGAGUACAGAGACGAGAGCUGCAUUUCCAGCAGGUUCUGCCACCCGCCCCAGGGGAGACCUUGGGAGCUUAGCAGCAACUUGGCAUCUCCUGAGUCGCCAGAGAGAAGCUGCCUUGUUGUACUGAGUGCUGAGGAGGGGGCGCCGGGUGGCUUCCCUGGUCAAGCUGGUCGCUGAGCUGUACAGGCCUUUGCAUUUUCUGGGCUGUUCCCGUGUGUCAUUCCACCCCUUCCCGGACAGUGUUUGAACAAGACGUAUUUUACUAAAGGACUUGUGGAUUGCGGGGUCCCACGACAUCACCUCAUAGAUGCAGUCGAUGGUUUGUUCCAGAUCCAGGCUUGUUUCCGGGAAGGAACCCUAACAGAAAUUCAGAAGCACGGGAGCUGCAUUCAAGUAGGACGUGGAUCCAUGAAAUGCUCGUCUCACGACCUUCUAGAAGAAGGAGCUGGGACCCAUGUUCCGAGUCCUGCUGGACCCAGAGACCAAGUCUAUGCAACCUCCAUCCGCCUCCAUCCUUUAUGAGACCUAAGACGUGAUGCAGCUCCAAUGGGAAAUAUCAGUUGUGUCUCUACCAAGGAUGCAGAAAAAGACAAGAUAUCAGCCAGGUGUCUGAAGAGCUGCACUAGGGUACCUACCUCCUUUUCGGAUAGACUGUAUUCCCUUUCCAUGUUUUAGCUGUACCUGUGACACAGGACACGAGAGAACGUGCUCAUGUGAACACAAGUGAAGGACACCGUGGGGACUUGCCACACAGGGUGUCCCACAUGCCUCCGGUGAUCCCCAAGAAGAACUUGAAGAACCAUCCCUUAUAACUUGAUGAAGACUCCUAAAAGCCCUGACUCAGAUGUAUUCAUCACUCAUCGAACAACUAUGGAUGGCUGGGGGCACAACUAGAUGGACAUACGUUACUCACAGAUCCCAGCACGUGGACUGUGUACAGGGCAUUUCUGCUGAAGCGCUAUGUCUGAUUUUCUGCAUACGGCCCCUUGCAUCACAAUGGUCUGUGGUACCGCUUCUGCACCUUGGCCCAAGACCUAACAGCAACAAAAAUAAGGUUCAUCUCCUAGCCAGAAUCAAGAAAGGAAGACACAGCAGCCACACUGUUCCCACAGAGGUGAGGUCUGGAAAGGAUCACCCAGGCCGGGAGACAUCUGUUUGGAGUGUGCAGUCAUCCUCCUCUCAUUAUUUCCUGAACCUCACGGAAAAACCUUAAGACCACACAGGAACAGGCUGCACAGCAGAAAUUGGACUGCAGCACAUCACAACGUGCUCCUUACCUCGCCUUGGAGGGUUCUUGCAGUGAUUGGUUUCUGCCUCGUGUAUCCCUCAGGCAGCCUCUUUGCUUCCAUCCCGUCCAGUCUUGGAUACAGAAAAAUAAUGGACUUCUAUAAGAGUUGCAACACCACGUCGUCUACUAGACAACUAACAGUGCAGGCGUCAUCCCUGGAAACACCCAAGUCAAAUGACCACACCUGUAUUUCAAGGUUGCAAAGACGAGGGCCAUGAAAUGGCACUACCACGUUGAUGGGUAUGAUUCAUUGUACGACACACUGCUUUCCUACAGAUGAUGACAAUUGACACCACCCCCGAGGAAUGUUAGCAUGGACAAAGUUUCCACACAGUCUGGUCACUACUUGAGAUCUGCAAAUGUUUAGAAACUUAAUUAUUUUAUUCUUUCUAAAACUUACCUUUUUUAUCUGUUAAUACUCUAUGCAUAUGUUGACUUUAAACUUUUCAAAAAGAUUAAAAACCAAAAAAUGAA